UAAGACAGAGGGUGCAAACGUUGCUCGGAAUUACUGGGCGUAAAGCGCGUGUAGGCGGGUUUCCAAGUCAGAUGUGAAAUCCCCGGGCUCAACCCGGGAACUGCAUUUGAAACUGGGAGUCUUGAGUAUCGGAGAGGAAAGCGGAAUUCCUGGUGUAGAGGUGAAAUUCGUAGAUAUCAGGAGGAACACCGGUGGCGAAGGCGGCUUUCUGGACGAUAACUGACGCUGAGACGCGAAAGCGUGGGGAGCAAACAGGAUUAGAUACCCUGGUAGUCCACGCCGUAAACGAUGAACACUAGGUGUCGUGGGUAUUGACCCCCGCGGUGCCGUAGCUAACGCAUUAAGUGUUCCGCCUGGGAAGUACGGUCGCAAGACUA
rnacentral:rRNA from 1 species